rnacentral:rRNA from 1 species
AAAUUGAAGAGUUUGAUCAUGGCUCAGAUUGAACGCUGGCGGCAGGCCUAACACAUGCAAGUCGAACGGUAACAGGAAGCAGCUUGCUGCUUUGCUGACGAGUGGCGGACGGGUGAGUAAUGUCUGGGAAACUGCCUGAUGGAGAGGGAUAACUACUGGAAACGGUAGCUAAUACCGCAUAACGUCGCAAGACCAAAGAGGGGGACCUU